AUGGAUCCUGCCUAUGCCUUGUACAGCCAGAGCCUCUGUUUCCACCGUAAGAUGGACACAGGAGUAACCUCUCUGCGUGGGGUUGGCGAGAUGGUGCACGCUGGCCCCACCAGCAGUGGCCCUCGGUGUUGUUCGUGGUGCUCCUGCGGAGCCUCCUGCCCUUCCUCGUUGGAGGAACCCUGCGAAGAGCCCCGCACUGCUGUGCUUGGCCCCCACUCUACCCUCUUCUGCCUGCAGAGUAGGCAGUCACUGGCGCCUCUCAUCACAGAUGCCAAGAAGAGGAGAAGGAAGCUAAAACUGAAGAAACCAGAGCCCAUCCUCCUACGGGACCGGUCGACCUCCCCGUGCCUGCCACCAACCCUGCUGCCACCUCCACCGCUGCUGCCACCACCACCUGCCACCACCAAGGCGUCUCUGGGGGCUCCAUCACCCCCUGUCUACACCAUGCCCAGGGUCUUUGGCCCCUUCCCUCCGCUGCCCAGCAAGUCGGUGGAGAAUGUGGACAUUGCAAGGUCUGAAGCGAAAUUAAACUGGAAUGGCCUGUCGCCGAACCCCAAGAGGUGGAAGGAAUUUACUCUGGGCUCGAGGGGAAUGGCAAAGGAGCACUUUGGGGAGCGUCCUCUGUGCCCGGCACAGUCACCAUGUCCUCCCACCGCUCGGUCGGUGCUCAGGGCAGUCCUGAGUGGUGGUUAUCACUUUACAGGGAGGAGUCUGGGCUCAGGCCUGCUGUGUGUGCGAGUCCUUGCGCCGACGUCACGGAACUGCACGUGAGGCUGCGGAGGGCCCAGGCUGACGUCCCCUCUCUGCCCUGUCUUGCAGCUGCAUGGUCGACCUGACCCCCUUGGUUCUCAACCCUGGAGGCUUCCAUUUCUCGUACUUGGCUGGGAACAGCUCACACAAGCUCCAUUGCCCCACCUUCCCCUGGUAAGAGUGCCUCUGUGGCAGCACCGUCCUGCCUCUGCCCCUCCCUGCCUCUGCGGCACCAUGGUGGUGUGCACAGGGCUGGAAAAAUCUUUGUUGUAAAGCCCCUUCCGCUUCCUGGAAUGACCCUAAGGACGUAAUGAGGGGUGCAGGGAAAGUAGCGCUCCCUCCCUAGCAUUUGUAACCCUGAGAAAUCAGAAACAAGCCACCCGAAGGCCCGUGAGGAACGGAAUGAUGCACCACCUGCGGAGCCGCCCCGUGACUGCAACACGCGUGUGUUUUGCAAAGCAGGGGUUUACUGAACGUGGGUUUUUUAAUCCUUGCUUUUUCCAUUUGAAAUGUUAAGUGUUUCCCCUGUCAUUGAAUGAUUUUAAAGUAUGAUUUAGACUGGCUGCUUCAUUGCAUUGUAUUGGAUGAAUGUUUAGAGUUUUAGGUUCACGGCAAAGUUGAACAGAAAGUACAGAGAGACCCCAUAUAUCUCCCCCCGACACACAGCCUCCCCCACUGUCAACAUGCCACACCACAGGGGACACGUGUUGCAUUUGAUGAACCUACAUUGGUACAUCAUAAUACUCAGAGUCCAUAGUUCACAUUAGGGUUCACUCUUGGUCUUGCACAUACCGUGGGUUUGGACAAAUGUAUAAUAGCGUGUAUCCACCACUGUAGAACCAUGCAGAGUAGUGUCGCUGCCCUAAAAUCCUCUGUGCUCUGCCUGUUCAUCCCUCCUAAACCUUAACCCCUAACUCCUGAGAACCCCUGAUCCUUUUACUGUCUCCAUACUUUUGCCUUUUCCAAAAUUUUAUUGGAAUCAUAUAGUAUGUCACCUUUUCAGAUUGGCUUCUUCCACUUAGUAAUAUGCAUUUAAGUUUCCUCCAUGUCUUUUCAUGCCUUGAUAGCUCAUUUCUUCUUAGCCCUGAAUAAUCCUGAGUGCACAACAGUUUAUCCAUUCACCUACUGAGGGACAUCUUGGUUGCUUCCAAGUUUUGGCCAUCAUGAAUAAAAGCUACUAUCAACAUCCUUGUGCAGGUUUUUGUGUAGACAUAAGUUUUCAUCUCAUUUGGGUAAACACCAAGGAGCAUGUUUGCUGGAUCACUGGUAAGUGUAUGUUUAGUGUUGGAAGAACCUGCCAAACUGGCUUCCAAAGUGGCUGCAUCAUUUUGCAUCUAGCAAUGAAUGAGAGUUCAGAUACUUUUAUGUGAGAAACUCACAUGGUUCUUUAAAGAUGAUUCUAAAUUCCCAGGUGAGAGAAAGUUUACCUAAGAGGACAUCCAAAGCGUAAGGAAACCUUUAAAAAAUGGUUUUGGCUCCUUUAAUAAGGAGAGAUGUACACACUUGAGACUGCCAGGAUGAGCGUCACAGCCGAAGGUAAGAGGGAGCCUGUUCGCGAAGCGCGCUUUAGGCAGAGACGCGUUUUAGCUAUGAAAUUAUCACCAAGUUGGCUUUGUCCUUUUUUAACCCUUUUAUUGAGAUAACUCACACAGCAUACACUCAGCCUAUUUAUAAGUGCACAAUCUGCGUGGCAUCUUUUCGUAAUUCAAUAGUGUGCCAGCCAUACCAC
rnacentral:lncRNA from 1 species